rnacentral:lncRNA from 1 species
CCUGGCCUCAAGGGAUCCACCCACCUCGAAUUCCCAAAGUGCUGGGAUCACAGGUGUGAGCCACCGCGGACGACCUAUAAAAACUUUUAUCCCUUUCAUUUUCUCAUAGACUCCCGUUUAAGUUCUUGCUCUGUUUUGGGGGAAAGUGUUUAUUGUUUGAUUUUCUAAUAACGAAAACAUUAGAGUAGCUUCAUUUAUGCUGCCUGUUUCAAGCCAAUACACUGCUCAGUUGUGUUUGUGUAUUUGAAAAGUCCCCUGAUAGGAACUUUCUGAGGGGUGCCUGUGUUGUUGGCACAUUUGAGAACUAGACAAAAUCUAACUCUGUGUCUUUUUUCUUUCUUUUUCCCCUAUUAUUUGGUUUUGUUUUUUUAACAACCCCUCUGGAGUGUGUUUUGGUUCAUGGGAUCAGGCCACGUGCCCUGGUUUUCGAGGUAUAGCCUUGGCUUUCUUGGGUCGGGUCUAAUAACCCUGACCUUGGACUUCCCACGUGUCCUUCAAAGAAAGCAAUUAUUUUUGCCUAUUUUCUGAGUAUGAUGGUAUUCUCCAUUUGAUUUAACAAAAAAAUUCUUCCUCUGCUUUAAAAGACUGAAAGCCUCCCUGUAAGGUGCUGAUUGCCUUCCAGAUCUGAGGACCCCGUCUCUGCCUCAUUCCUCCUGUUUCCAUCAGAAGACACAGGUCUGGGACUCAGCGCAGCUGACCUGUCUGUCCCUCUCUGCACAGUUUACUCCUGGGCUCUGCAGAGAGAAGUCAGUGCCUCAAUUUUCCAUUGAAAUAUGCACCCUUGGCAUCCUGGCAGAGGAGGAAGGUGAGUCCUGGAGGAGGGAACAGACUCCCGGGGACACACGGCAAGGAUUCCAGCCUGGGCCCAUUUUGGUAGCGCUCCCUCACGGUGACAGAUCCAGCCAGUGCGCCAGCAGACGCCCUUCACGGAAACCUCACGUAAAGGCUGAGUUAGUGCUGUCUCAGACGACUGCAGCGGCGUGGUGGGAAACGUCAGUAAAGAACGGUUUCCUUGAAAAGUCUGCACAUUUAUAGUGUGUUGUUUUGAUUAGGAAUUCUGGGAAGGCAGAGACGUCCUUCUGCGUGGACAGCUGCCAUCCCUCCCGCUCUGCAACGCUGGCUCCUCCUGAAGAUGGAGCAGGAUUGCGUCACUCAUGGGAACUUUCUAACCUUCUCUUCAGCUGACCUCCUCUGUGCUUUGGGAAGCCAGACUGACUCAGAGAGUUCCGUGUCCCCACCCCUUCCUUGGUGCUGGAAAGGAGGUGGAAACUCCUCAACUUCCUGUCAUUAGGAUUCAUCUCGGAAAUCUGCCACACAGGGCUACCCCGGGACCCUAUCCAGGCAGGGGGGUGCGUCAGAAGCACUUCACCCCUGCAGGUGCAGGCACACUUACUCUCUUAUUGGAGACACUGCCUUGCCUUGUC